ACCAGACAAUUGACUAUUGAGGCCUGUGAGGCAUUAAACAAAGUAAAUGAAAAAUUGACUCUAGCAAGGGUCCAACGCUUGGAUCCUGCUGAAGAGUGGUCCUUGUGCAUUCUAAAAACUAAUUGUACCCCCACAGCCUGCCUGUGGCAGAAUGGGAUAUUGGAAUGGAUUCAUUUACCUCAUAUUUCGCAUAAAGUUUUGGUUUCUUAUGAUACCCUAUGCACUCAAUUGAUUAUC
rnacentral:lncRNA from 1 species